GUUUUAAUAGUUUAACAAAAAAACGUUGGUCUUGUAAACCAAAAUUAAGGAAUACUUUUAAAACU
rnacentral:tRNA from 1 species